GAGCCGCCGUCGCACGGAGAGUGCCGGCCACCCUUCCUCUGCCCUCGAGGCCGAGCCACAUUGUCGAGUUCUCUUUUCCCUUCGUGCCGUCUGCUCUAGUCGCCUUGCACCGUCACCACAGCCGAACCACUUCACCGGCCACCAGGAUUUUGUGCUGUGGAGUGUCUGAUUUCCAGGUGCUAAUCCUCUCCGGCAGUAAAUUGCCUUGGCUGUGAUUGAAGGUUAUUGCUUGGAUUCCAGCAACUACCUCUGUUCCGGCAGCAACGUUACCGGUUGAGGCUUCAGAAUUAGGGUUUUGACACGAGACGAGCAUCUCGACGUCCGAGUUGGACCGGACUGAUCUUAUUUUCCU